AUUAACGCUGGCGGCGUGCCUAAUACAUGCAAGUCGAGCGAACAGACGAGGAGCUUGCUCCUCUGACGUUAGCGGCGGACGGGUGAGUAACACGUGGAUAACCUACCUAUAAGACUGGGAUAACUUCGGGAAACCGGAGCUAAUACCGGAUAAUAUAUUGAACCGCAUGGUUCCAUAGUGAAAGACGGUUUUGCUGUCACUUAUAGAUGGAUCCGCGCCGCAUUAGCUAGUUGGUAAGGUAACGGCUUACCAAGGCGACGAUGCGUAGCCGACCUGAGAGGGUGAUCGGCCACACUGGAACUGAGACACGGUCCAGACUCCUACGGGAGGCAGCAGUAGGGAAUCUUCCGCAAUGGGCGAAAGCCUGACGGAGCAACGCCGCGUGAGUGAUGAAGGUCUUCGGAUCGUAAAACUCUGUUAUUAGGGAAGAACAAAUGUGUAAGUAACUAUGCACGUCUUGACGGUACCUAAUCAGAAAGCCACGGCUAACUACGUG
rnacentral:rRNA from 1 species